AUACGGACUGCCGGUAAAAAGCCGGAGGAAGGUGAGGAUGAUGUCAAGUCAGCAUGACCUUUAUAUCCAGGGCUACACACACGCUACAAUGGUCUGUACAAUUGGUUGCCAAGCCGCGAGGCGGAGCCAAUCCGUAAAGCAGGCCUCAGUUCAGAUUGCAGUCUGCAACUCGACUGCAUGAAGCCGGAGUUGCUAGUAACCGCAGGUCAGCAAUACUGCGGUGAAUACGUUCCCGGGUCUU
rnacentral:rRNA from 1 species